GAAUUCUGGGCGUAAAGCGCACGCAGGCGGUUGGAUAAGUUAGAUGUGAAAGCCCCGGGCUCAACCUGGGAAUUGCAUUUAAAACUGUCCAGCUAGAGUCUUGUAGAGGGGGGUAGAAUUCCAGGUGUAGCGGUGAAAUGCGUAGAGAUCUGGAGGAAUACCGGUGGCGAAGGCGGCCCCCUGGACAAAGACUGACGCUCAGGUGCGAAAGCGUGGGGAGCAAACAGGAUUAGAUACCCUGGUAGUCCACGCCGUAAACGAUGUCGAUUUGGAGGCUGUGUCCUUGAGACGUGGCUUCCGGAGCUAACGCGUUAAAUCGACCGCCUGGGGAGUACGGCCGCAAGGUUAAAACUCAAAUGAAUUGACGGGGGCCCGCACAAGCGGUAAUCGAAUU
rnacentral:rRNA from 1 species